rnacentral:rRNA from 1 species
GAUGAACGCUGGCGGCGUGCCUAAUACAUGCAAGUCGAGCGAACAGACGAGGAGCUUGCUCCUCUGACGUUAGCGGCGGACGGGUGAGUAACACGUGGAUAACCUACCUAUAAGACUGGGAUAACUUCGGGAAACCGGAGCUAAUACCGGAUAAUAUACUGAACCGCAUGGUUCAUUAGUGAAAGACGGCUUUGCUGUCACUUCUAGAUGGAUCCGCGCUGCAUUAGCUAGUUGGUAAGGUCACGGCUUACCAAGGCGACGAUGCGUAGCCGACCUGUGAGGGUGAUCGGCCACACGGGAGCGUAGACACGGUCCUGACUCCUACGGGAGGCAGCAGUAGGGAAUCGUCCGCAAAGGGCGAAAGCCUGACGGAGCGACGCCGCGUGAGAGAUGAAGGUCUUCGGAUCGUGAAACUCUGUUAUUAGUGAAGAACAAAUUUGUAAGUAACUAUGCACGUCUUGACGGUACCUAGUAAGAAAGCCACGGCUAACUACGUG